GACGAACGCUGGCGGCGUGCCUAACACAUGCAAGUCGAACGGGACCAGGGGCAACUCUGGUUCAGUGGCGGACGGGUGCGUAACACGUGAGGAACAUGACCUUCGGCGGGGGAGUAGCCGGCCCGAACGGCCGGGUAACGUACCGCGUACGACCUUUCGGGGUACGAUCCCUCGGAUGGUGAAAGACAGCAAUGCGCCGAUGGAGUGCCUCGCGGCCUAUCAGCUAGUUGGUGAGGUAACGGCUCACCAAGGCGACGACGGGUAGCUGGUCUGAGAGGGCGACCGGCCACACUGGGACUGAGACACGGCCCAAACUCCUACGGGAGGUCAGCAGUUGGGGAAUAUUGGACAAUGGGCGAAAGCCUGAUCCAGCCAUGCCGCGUGAGUGAUGAAGG
rnacentral:rRNA from 1 species